rnacentral:lncRNA from 1 species
AAUUAUCUAUGCUUGUUUUAUCUUUAUACCAUCAUCAUGUUCAUUUUCAUAUUUAUUUUUCUGCAUCCAUUGCAUUUUAACAUCAUGUGUGCAUCCUAAAAUUCUCUUGCACCUUCAUUGCAUUCCAUUCAUGCUUUGCAUAUAGUUGGCUUGGUUGUUCUAUACACUUUAUGAAGAAUUCUUUCAUAUCCCUGUUAAUGCUUAAUAUAUGGUCAUUUUCCUUUCGCAAUCUUGUGUAAACAUGGUGUUUAAACUUGUUUGCGGACUAUCAUCAUUCAGUUCUAUAAACAUGUUGCAUUGAUUCUUUUAUAAGCUUUGCAAUGCGCUUUGUUUUUCUUGUGCUAUAACGAAUUAUUGAUCUUGGAAUAGACAUGGUAUUUUGACCUUGGUUAAUUAAUCUCUAUGGUUAUAGAGAAAUCCAGCCACCUAGUUGUAAACAUGGUGUUUAGAACUAUGUGCAAACAUUGUCUUUGCUUAUCUGCCAUCCUCUCAUAUGCAUUUACACCUUGCACUCAUGUACACCCAUUAGGUUUUUAUAUUUGUUUUCACUAGACUAAUUAUACC